UCACGUCUUGCGACGGCAGUUUCUUCAGAGUUCCCACCAUUACGUGCUGGCAACUGAAGAUGGGGGUUGCGCUCGUUGCGGGACUUAACCCAACACCUCACGGCACGAGCUGACGACAGCCAUGCAGCACCUUACUAUCUGUGUAUUGCUACAAAACUAGCUUUCACUAGCGGUCAAAUAGCAUUCUAGCCCAGGUAAGGUUCCUCGCGUAUCAUCGAAUUAAACCACAUACUCCACCGCUUGUGCGGACCCCCGUCAAUUCCUUUGAGUUUCAUCCUUGCGGACGUACUUCCCAGGUGGAUUACUUAAUGCUUUCGCUCAGACACACACUGUGUAUCGCGUAUGUCGAGUAAUCAUCGUUUAGGGCGUGGACUAC
rnacentral:misc_RNA from 1 species